CGAAAAACAUCGCAAUUCUCCCUCUGGUGAGGAAUCCUGUCUGUCGUCCCUGACGCGUGACGCCUGACAUUUACAUCUUUGACUGUGAUAUAUCAUGGUAAUAUGUUUAUCUAAAAGCAGAGAGAUUUUGUGGCAUUGCAGAGAGCGAAUAAGCGGAAUGGAAAAAUAGGUCAGAUGACUCUGGCAAGGUAUAGCCUAGAAUAGAUGCUAUUAUACCAUGCCUGAUGCAUGAUUGUUGCAGCCUCUUCAAUUGAAUGAACAAUGACAAAAGUUACAAAGACAACUACAAUCCUACAGCAUCGAAAGUGUUAAAAGAAAACAAUUGCUUACCAUUUGCUGGCAAAUAUGGAAUUGGGAUCUUGCUUAAAAGUACUUGAUACCUUUUUCAUGGGAAACCUCAUUUCGCAUUCUUCUGCCAUUUUGAUUUACUUUUAUCAAAGUGUCAACCAUUUUUUAGUCUGUAGACUGACAAAUUCAGGAUGAGUUUACUUCCAAGCAUUGACACAACAUACAUCUCCAUGUAAAGUCUUAAUUAACAUCAAUCCAUUUUAUGUAGGAGUUGAUUUUUAAUUUUUGCUUGACAAACGGAUAAGUUGAAUGGUUGAGUAUGGUUGUUGCCCAGCAGAUUAAAACAUUAUAGUUUUGGUCGCACCUAUUGCCCCUCAAAAUUUUGAGGGGUAAUAGACUUUUCCUAUAGUUUUUAUUAACAUUUACUAGACAGAAAAAAAUGUGUUGGUGAAUGUCGUCAAGAAUGCAAAUGAUUUAGUUAAUUUACUGUGGUAUCAACCUAAUCAAAAUCUUCAUAUGUGAAGUGCUUUCAGACUUCAUUGGUGCUGAAUUUUUGAGUAUAUUAUCACCAGAAUGUCAUACAAAAUAACUUGGGCAGAAAACAGAUACCUUUGGUCAAUGGUUACACCAAGGGCAGUGAAUGCAUUUCUCUUUUCACCAUUGGUCAGCUGACUUGCCUUCCCAGUUGCAAUGAAGAAGAAUGACUAGUCAAAAGUAUUAAAAGGAAACAAGCAACAGUUAUGGUUCGUUUGGUUGGAGCCCUUUGUCAACAAAGGGAGAGAGGACCAAGUCAAACGUAUCCGAAAGGUACGGGGUUACAAGAUGGAAGCUUAGCCACGGUUUAUUGUCAAACAAAUAGACACGGCUGUCGGAGCCCUUUGUGCGCAGGGCAUUUGACGAACCGGGCACUCAAAUGACGCUAAAGACUUUUCACUUGAGGUCUGGUGUGGCUGGUGUGGCACCGAUGAACCUCACACAGGAACUUUCUGGAUUAAGGAAAUCAUUAACGCCCUAAAGGCCUUCAGUACACCUGUUAUCUCCACCCAGCUUCUAAUUGUUGACGACCCGGAAUAUGCGCGACAAGUUAAAGGAAGGAUCAAAAACAAUUUUCGGAGAAAUAAAUUAAACAAUUUUUCGUUAUUAAUAUUUUUCAAUUGUCUUUUUAGGUGACGGGAUAUUUCGAUGAAGUAUAACUGCCUGAUGAUGUUUAAUGUCGAUUAAAUUAGACAUUAACCGAAUCCGCUUGCUAAAACUCGAGGUGGCUGCAAAUUCUAUCCAGUAGAGCCUCUGUAUACAUGUAAACUGAAAAUAAAGCCUGCUUUCAUCGAAGUCAUUAGUGAACAAUACAAAUUGUAAAGCUGUGCUCCAUCUGCAAAAUCGUCAAUGUAUCUGUGAGGCAGUACCUCAAAGAACAAUUGCCUAGGGACUUCAUACAGGGUUUGCCAACUGCUAGCCGAGCUGUCAUCAACAUCGACGAUACAAGGAAACCGCAUAGAUAGUGUGUUUAUCUGUUAACUGCUUCAAAUUGGCUCAGAAUUAGGCAGCAAUUUUGGAAGUUGUUGCUUUCUCAGUAUGAAUGAGCUUCAAUGUUGGUGUUGCAGGUGUUACCCAUGUUACGUUGACUGUUUGGAUUCCUAUUCAUUAACAUUUCAAAACCAAAUUCAUCUUCUUAAAAUUGACUUGAAAGGAUUUGGAUCAUUCUAGGAACAUAUCUAUCAAAGAUGCAAAGCUCUAAUGGGAUUAAUUUAUCCGUCAAAUUAAUGAUAAACUUGGAUCUGAAAAGGUUCCUUGGUUGGGGCGAGACACCGAAUAAAGUUUAAUGAUUGGAUGCACUA
rnacentral:lncRNA from 1 species